CCAACGGCCCUCUUUAGGGCCAUAAUUCUGACGUAUACGAAUCUCA
rfam:Heligmosomoides polygyrus genome assembly, scaffold: HPBE_scaffold0001110